rnacentral:rRNA from 1 species
GACGAACGCUGGCGGCGUGCCUAAUACAUGCAAGUUGAGCGAUGAAGAUUGGUGCUUGCCCCAAUUUGAAGAGCAGCGAACGGGUGAGUAACGCGUGGGGAAUCUGCCUUUGAGCGGGGGACAACAUUUGGAAACGAAUGCUAAUACCGCAUAACAACUUUAAACAUAAGUUUUAAGUUUGAAAGAUGCAAUUGCAUCACUCAAAGAUGAUCCCGCGUUGUAUUAGCUAGUUGGUGAGGUAAAGGCUCACCAAGGCGAUGAUACAUAGCCGACCUGAGAGGGUGAACGGCCACAUUGGGACGGAGACACGGCCCAAACUCCUACGGGAGGCAGCAGUAGGGAAUCUUCGGCAAUGGACGAAAGUCUGACCGAGCAACGCCGCGUGAGUGGAGAAGGGUUUCGGAUCGUAAAACUCUGUUGGUAGAGAAGAACGUUGGUGAGAGUGGAAAGCUCAUCAAGUGACGGUAACUACCCAGAAAGGGACGGCUAACUACGUG